rnacentral:rRNA from 1 species
UAGCUUGCUACCUGACCUAGCGGCGGACGGGUGAGUAAUGCUUAGGAAUCUGCCUAUUAGUGGGGGACAACAUUCAGAAAGGAAUGCUAAUACCGCAUACGCCCUACGGGGGAAAGCAGGGGAUCUUCGGACCUUGCGCUAAUAGAUGAGCCUAAGUCAGAUUAGCUAGUUGGUGGGGUAAAGGCCUACCAAGGCGACGAUCUGUAGCGGGUCUGAGAGGAUGAUCCGCCACACUGGGACUGAGACACGGCCCAGACUCCUACGGGAGGCAGCAGUGGGGAAUAUUGGACAAUGGGCGAAAGCCUGAUCCAGCCAUGCCGCGUGUGUGAAGAAGGCCUUUUGGUUGUAAAGCACUUUAAGCGAGGAGGAGGCUACUUGGAUUAAUACUCUAGGAUAGUGGACGUUACUCGCAGAAUAAGCACCGGCUAACUCUGUGCCAGCAGCCGCGGUAAUACAGAGGGUGCGAGCGUUAAUCGGAUUUACUGGGCGUAAAGCGUGCGUAGGCGGCUUUUUAAGUCGGAUGUGAAAUCCCUGAGCUUAACUUAGGAAUUGCAUUCGAUACUGGGAAGCUAGAGUAUGGGAGAGGAUGGUAGAAUUCCAGGUGUAGCGGUGAAAUGCGUAGAGAUCUGGAGGAAUACCGAUGGCGAAGGCAGCCAUCUGGCCUAAUACUGACGCUGAGGUACGAAAGCAUGGGGAGCAAACAGGAUUAGAUACCCUGGUAGUCCAUGCCGUAAACGAUGUCUACUAGCCGUUGGGGCCUUUGAGGCUUUAGUGGCGCAGCUAACGCGAUAAGUAGACCGCCUGGGGAGUACGGUCGCAAGACUAAAACUCAAAUGAAUUGACGGGGGCCCGCACAAGCGGUGGAGCAUGUGGUUUAAUUCGAUGCAACGCGAAGAACCUUACCUGGUCUUGACAUAGUAAGAACUUUCCAGAGAUGGAUUGGUGCCUUCGGGAACUUACAUACAGGUGCUGCAUGGCUGUCGUCAGCUCGUGUCGUGAGAUGUUGGGUUAAGUCCCGCAACGAGCGCAACCCUUUUCCUUAUUUGCCAGCGGGUUAAGCCGGGAACUUUAAGGAUACUGCCAGUGACAAACUGGAGGAAGGCGGGGACGACGUCAAGUCAUCAUGGCCCUUACGACCAGGGCUACACACGUGCUACAAUGGUCGGUACAAAGGGUUGCUACCUAGCGAUAGGAUGCUAAUCUCAAAAAGCCGAUCGUAGUCCGGAUUGGAGUCUGCAACUCGACUCCAUGAAGUCG